rnacentral:snRNA from 1 species
UUAAUAGUUUCAAUGAUUUACCC